rnacentral:rRNA from 1 species
GCACGUAGUUAGCCGGGACUUCUUCUGCAGGUACCGUCAGUUUCCCUUCGUCCCUGCCGAAAGGGGUUUACAACCCGAGGGCCUUCAUCCCCCACGCGGCGUCGCUGCGUCACGCUUUCGCGCAUUAGCGCAAGAUCCCCCACUGCUGCCUCCCGUAGGAGUCUGGGCCGUGUCUCAGUCCCAGUGUGGCUGGCCGUCCUCUCAGACCAGCUACCCGUCGUCGCCUUGGUGGGCCGUUACCCCACCAACAAGCUGAUAGGCCGCGGGCCCAUCCCGGACCGUCGGAGCUUUCCCGGCGCGACCAUGCGAUCACGCCGGAGUAUCCGGUAUUAGCUCAGGUUUCCCUGGGUUAUCCCGGUGUCCGGGGCAGGUUGCCCACGUGUUACUCACCCGUUCGCCGCUCUCCCCUCAGAAGGGUUACCCCUCCUGAGGUUCCCGCUCGACUUGCAUGUGUUAGGCACGCCGCCAGCGUUCGUC